rnacentral:tRNA from 1 species
AGUUUCGUCGUACAACGGCUAGUACAGGCACCUGAUAAGUGUCAGAUAGGAGUUCGAUUCUCCUCGAAACUACCA